GUUCUGGUGGCAUGGUGGGGGCAGGCUGCCGUCCGUCUGCGUCUAUCAGUGUCGGGAGCCAGUGGUGUGGGCAGGGGGCGGGGGAUGCUCGCUCACCACUGGAAUCAAGUCAGAGUGAGAAGGAAAAGAUGGCCUCCGCCAGCCUCAGUGCCAGCAAUGCUGAGGGAGCCCAUACUAACGGCUUCUGUCAGUGUUGUUUCUGGAGAGUGAUCCAGGAGAUUUCUGACCCUCUGGCAGAUGCUUUGUUAGUAAGUGACUCUCCUUCACAUAAAGUCUAGGCUCUUUUCAAACUGCUCCUUUUUAUACUGGGUCCCAGGGCAAAUGAGUCUCUAUAUGAGCCCUUUAAAUGCAAAAUCUUCGUUCUUGAUAACCUUAUAUUUCUUCUGAACAGCAGAUCUGUUGGUUUUUUUCAAAGCCAGACACUUUGAGGGCUCUUCUCUCAGGCACAGGUCCCAGGGAUUCAGGUGGGUGGUGUGUGAGAAGCUCCAUUUUAUGCAUGUACGUACUUGUUUAUUUUUGACAUCCCUUAAGAUUGUGAGUUGCUACUCUGGGGUUGGGGGAGGCAGGGUUGAUAAGUAUGUGUCUCUGCCUCUCCUACACAUCUCCAUGUGGCUCUUUUAUCCUUAAUUUUAUAGCAAGUGCUAGAUGCUCAGGUUUUUUUUCAGAGGGAUUUGUUUCAUGCAUAACUAUAUUUGUUUUAUCUGUAAAAGGAGGUGAAUUCAGAAUCUUUCCAUACAGCCAUCUUGAAGUGCCUCAUAAUCUUAGUUUUGAAGAUUGGAAAAUGAAAAGAUCACUUACUGAGGAAAUUGGAGACUGCAGGAAUGAAGGAAAAGUCUCCCAUUUUGAGCUACUCUUUUAUGUCACUUCUACAAAAUGGCAUGCAACUCUAUAAAUAUUUUUUUUAAAGAUACAGUUUUCCCACCUUGCUUUUUCUUCAAGUCAUCUGUAGAAUAUUUCAUCUUCCCUGAAGAUAAAAUUACUUCCAACCACUACUGAAAUCACAACUUAUUAUUAGGCCAGUCCCUAGAUGUAUGGAUGCAAUCAGUGGAUCAAGAACAAAGCUUGGAAAUAGAUAACAAGUCCUUCCCCAGUUGAGGUAAGUAAUUCUUGGGCAAGUUUUGGGGAAAAGAAAAAAUGAGUGACAAGGAUAUACUUUAUGCUUUUUUUUUUUUUGACUUCUGUGAUGAAG
rnacentral:lncRNA from 1 species